GUGAUAUCCAGGUGAUGGGCGGCCAGAGAGCUGAGUUGUGCAGGCAAGAGGGACUCUGCUGGCCUUGGUGUGGUCAGCCCCCUCCUUGCAGGAUCCAAGGAGGGAGGCAAUAGACAUACAAUUCAUUGUAACGAUGUAUGGUGUCCAUGCUGCAGGACAGAUCACCCCCCUCAGCUAUAAUCAUGUAUUGCCUCACAUGAUUCUUUUCCCAGAAGGUUCAUUUAAUACAUGGAGAGGGAACGUUUAUUCUGAUUUUUCUGAGGUAAACCACCUCACACGCAUACAGCUUGCCAUUGUUAGGACCCAUGCAAGAGGGCAGGAGGGCAUGGGAGAAUAGACAUGCAAUCCAUGAACAUGCACAACUGAUAUGAAGGUUCUCCAGGUUAUUAGUCCACACAUGCUAUAGCCAAACCAGAACGCAUCAAAUGUGAUCUUGCUUUUCAAGUGUCAGGCUACUGGAGUGGAAGAGACGAGCAGAUUAGAGGAUGAAGGCCCUAGAGGUAAGGACAAUAAUUGACACUCAAUCAUGUCAAUAUAAAGCAUAUCACUUGAAGUACACUCACCAAUGAUAUUUUGUUCUUGAGUAAUUGAAGAUGAGGUCACAUUCUGGCAGGUGGAAGUAGUGCAAGCCUCAAGAUUCCUAUUCAGUUUAGUUCAUUUUGUGUACAUUGGUGUUGAUUUCCUCGACUUGCAUGUAGAUUUUUAAUAAAUAAAUACUCCUAGAAUUUAACCUUUCAAAAUAAAACCCCAUAGGCAACUGAACCAUGCAAUGGUUUUUGCGCAGCUCAACUUCAGUUAUCAGAUUGAAUAACAAACGAUACUAAAUAACCAAGGGAAAGGUCAUUUGAAACCCCAUUUAUUCAAAAUGAAACAUUUCACUAUCACCUUUCAAUGUUGCUCCUAUGGUAACAUGACAUAACAUUCAGGAGCUCAAACGAUUAGUAGGAGCAGAGGAACUUGUGAAUUUGUCAGGGUUUAUGUAGCCUAUACAUUGUCACAUUUUUUUCUUGGUAGAGUGGGUUAAUAUGAUUAUGAUGCAGUUUCUUAUGAUAUAGUUUUCAAGUCCAUUUCAUGAUUGGAGCAUUUCUGUGUUGACAUUUAGAACAUUCAUCCUUUAAACUCUUGUUCUGCUUAUUUGGUCAUAUGUUGCUGGGAAUUCUAUUUGUAAGCUGAUCAUUGAGUGUUUAGAGUUCAUGUUUAGCAGGUCUAAUGUUAUGUAUCAGACAAAAAAAAG